AUUGAACGCUGGCGGCAUGCCUUACACAUGCAAGUCGAACGGCAGCACGGGAGCAAUCCUGGUGGCGAGUGGCGAACGGGUGAGUAAUAUAUCGGAACAUACCCUAGAGUGGGGAUAACGUAGCGAAAGUUACGCUAAAACCGUAUACGAUCUAUGGAUGAAAGCGGGGGAUCGCAAGACCUCGCGCGAUUGGAGCGGCCGAUAUCAGAUUAGGUAGUUGGUGAGGUAAAGGCUCACCAAGCCGACGAUCUGUAGCUGGUCUGAGAGGACGACCAGCCACACUGGGACUGAGACACGGCCCAGACUCCUACGGGAGGCAGCAGUGGGGAAUUUUGGACGAAUGGGCGCAAGCCUGAUCCAGCAAUGCCGCGUGCAGGAUGAA
rnacentral:rRNA from 1 species